UUGCGCCUGGAUGACGCGCUCUCCGCUCAUAUUUAUUUUUUCGCAUAAACAUUGAAGUGAUAAUAAUGUGUUACAUGUAUUUUUCAUUACAUUAUCUAUUUUAGAAUGUUUAUAGGCACGUCACUUGGGCUUGAACGAAGAUCUUGCGUUGGUGUCUGCCAGACACAAGAAGACAAAUGGUUCGGUCAUUUGGAUCGGCUGGAGGACGUAACACGUGACGGGACUCCGGCUUCAGCCAAUGAGGACGAAGAUCUUUGCUGACAUCUGCAAGACACAAGACGACGACACACACACAUGGGUCGAAUAUAAUUUAAUAACAUCCCUCCUUAAAGGAAAAAAUAAAUAUGAGCGGAGAGCGCGUCAUCUAUGGGCAAAGUUGCGGAAGUGUCAUUCGACGACGUCCAAGUUCUCGCCAUAUUGGCUGCAUCCCAUGCCCGUGAUGUCACCCGGACAUUCGCCAAUAAAAACACACAGUGGACCGACUAUGGGAGACGAACACACCCCUUCUGACCCGGAAGCUCUUUUCGAAGAAUUGACCCCUCCGUACAGGGCACUUAACCACGCCUCCUGAAGUGACGUCACGCCACGUGCGCUCACUUGCCUGGCAACCAGUUCAGGGUGUACCCUGCCUCCUGCCCCUUGACAGCUGGGAUAGCCUCCGGUGCUCCCCGCGACCCUUGUGAGGAUAAGCGGUGAAGAAAAUGGGUGGAUGGAAUAUAUUUUCCCUCCUGCCAGAGCUCUUCAGGCAGAUCCUUUGACCUCAAGAUUUUCAUUUGCCCUGACAUGUAGUGAAAGCUGUACAAAGUCAAAAGUAAAGUACUUUGGAUACUGCGUCUGUUUUUAGUUUGACUCAUACUAAGAAAGUGUACUUUUACUUCAUUACAGUAAUCUAAAAGCCCCUUUAUACUUGAUACUGUGAUCUCCACUUUAAAAUUUGUUGUAUUCAUUCAAAGUUG